UGGGGAAUUUUGCACAAUGGGGGAAACCCUGAUGCAGCGACGCCGCGUGAUUUAGAAGGCCUUCGGGUUGUAAAAAUCUUUUCUAUGGGAAGAAAAUGACAGUACCAUAGGAAUAAGGACCGGCUAAUUACGUGCCAGCAGCCGCGGUAAUACGUAAGGUCCGAGCGUUGUCCGGAAUCAUUGGGCGUAAAGGGUACGUAGGCGGGUAAGCAAGUUAGAAGUGAAAUCCUAUAGCUCAACUAUAGUAAGCUUUUAAAACUGCUUAUCUUGAGCUAUUGAAGGGAAAGUGUACUUCCUAGUGUAGCGGUGAAAUGCGCAGAUAUUAGGAUGAAUACCGGUGGCGAAGGCGACUUUCUGGCCACAACCUGACGCUGAGGUACGAAAGCGUGGGUAGCAAACAGG
rnacentral:rRNA from 1 species